AGAAUCAACGCUGGCGGCGUGCCUCAGACAUGCAAGUCGAACGCGAAAGUCCCCUUCGGGGGACAAGUAGAGUGGCGCACGGGUGAGUAACACGUAGGUAAUCUACCUUCGGAUGGGGAAUAACAAUCGGAAACGGUUGCUAAUACCGCAUAAUGCAGCGGCACCUAAUGGUGACAGUUGUUAAAGCGGGGGAUCGAAAGACCUCGCGUCUGAAGAGGAGCCUGCGGCGGAUUAGCUAGUUGGUAAGGUAAUGGCUUACCAAGGCUACGAUCC
rnacentral:rRNA from 1 species